CACGUAGGGGGCAAGCGUUGUCCGGAUUUAUUGGGCGUAAAGAGCUCGUAGGCGGCUCAGUAAGUCGGGUGUGAAACCUCCAGGCUCAACCUGGAGACGCCACCUGAUACUGCUGUGGCUAGAGUCCGGUAGGGGAGCGUGGAAUUCCUGGUGUAGCGGUGAAAUGCGCAGAUAUCAGGAGGAACACCGGUGGCGAAGGCGGGUCUCUGGGCCGAAACUGACGCUGAGGAGCGAAAGCGUGGGGAGCAAACAGG
rnacentral:rRNA from 1 species